UUCGAUAUAGCCAAAUUAAAGAAUAGAAGAUUGGAGAGACACUGCUGGUAACCAAAGAUUCGGGAGAGCCUCGCUUCUAGACUACCAGAAAAUUCCUACUAUCAAUUGGCAGGUACAUUUUCCCUGGCGCGGAGGUUUAUUCCAAAUCUGAGCCGUACGAUCAAUGUUCCCUCUCGGCAAACUCCGAGCGCACAGAUAGCAACAGCGAUUCCUCUUCCGGAGAAGAAGAAGAAGACGAAGAGGAAGAGACAUGCGCGGACGAUGAUCUAUCAGAGGACGCAAACAUCGACGCUAACAGUCAGAACAACGAGAGCAAAUUGUUCACUUAAAUUGUUCACCAUUUUUACUAUCUACACGAGGAUUAUAAAAAAGCGAUCGAGAUUGCUUUUAGCUUACCGCACUUAUCCGUAAUUAUUUCUUCUCCACCACAAAUAAUCUAUUUAAUCUACUUCGUAUGUGUAAGAUGUACAUAAUGGAAUUUGCAAUAAUAUUUCUAAUAAAAUUAUUAAAUAUUUA